AUUGCUUCUCGGCCUUUUGGCUAAGAUCAAGUGUAAUAUCUGUGAUAAGGGAACUCAUCAGUAUAAGUUACAAAGAUGUCUAUAUAUAGUCUAUAUAUGGCGAAGGUACUGAACUAGUAGAAGCUGGUACUAGUAGAAACUAG
rnacentral:snRNA from 1 species